UGUUAUAUCUGUUGGUUUUUAGAACUUGGCCUUUUCCAGGAAAUCAAAUGAUUUUAGUUUAGAUCCUUCUGAACAAGAACAUUGAAUUCCUUUCUAUCACAGGAAUCUAAUUUUUCAUGCAGAAUACUCAAUAUCUGAUAGCUAAUUCAUUCUCUAGGAAGAACUCACCUAAAUACUUAAAUCAGUUGCUCCGUUUCAUUAAACAGUAAACAUUUAAAAGCAUUUCAUAUUCACAGGCAGGAGGAAGACCCUCAGAUUGCUCUUUUUCUGGCAGGCCAGGCUAUGAUGAAUUUGUGAAUGCUGCAAAUGUCUCAGGCACUGGCAGAAUCUAAGUCAGAGUCCAGAAGGUUUUGCCAAUGCAGAAUAUUUAAUUUAUACUCUGUGUGUGUGUUGUCAUAUGUAUAACGCUUCACUUACAGUGAAUAUACUGUAAAGUGAAACACUUACUCGGUGUUUGCAUGAAUUCAGACUAACUCUGGUUUUCAGUCUAUAAAAAGAUCUAUUUAAUCAGCAGACAUUUGUCCUUGCAGGGAUAGAAGAGAAAGCAGGAUUGUCCCUCAGGCUCACCGGGGUCAGGAUCAGCUUUCGGCCUGCACCCAGGAAUCCCCUCAGGCCCGAGCAGGGCCUGCCUGAGCCCCCGCACAUCCAGUUCCAGUUUAGGCUGCUCGGGCCCCGAUUUCUGAGGGAGCUCUCCCCGCUGUUCCUGCAGCUUCAGCUGUGGGAAAAGGACCGGGGUGGCUUUUCCCGACGUGGGAACCCUGAGGUCCCGCGGGGCUCCGCAGCCCGGGCAGCUGCCGCUGUCACUCGCGUCUCAGCGGGGGCCGCGGCACCUCCGUGACACUUCACUCCUGAAACAACAGCAGCCAUCCCUCCCGCUAAACCCCGUUUGUUGGCUGAGGCAGCCACCUUUAACCUUCGUAAAGUCAACAUCUCUGCGGUCAAGCACUGAAAAACGCAUGGGAAAAAUGGCACGGAUGGAGGAAUUUCACUGGUUUUGGAACACUGUAAGAUAUGCAGCCCAUGAGAAGUGA
rnacentral:lncRNA from 1 species